rnacentral:lncRNA from 1 species
CACACUGCUGAUGUACACAUCACACUCAUUCAUUAAAUAAAUAAUGAAAAAAAACUGAAUCAUUUUAAAUGCAAAUCCUACAGCAAAGGAAAAGAAGUGGAGCAAAGAGAUUUUAUUAAAUUUUUUGUUUAUUUUGUUUUGUCUUUGUUUCUUGUUUUCUUUAUCUUCCUGAGAUGAGGUCUCACAGCUGGCCUUGAACUCCUGACUGAGUUUCCUGAUUUCAUCUCUGGAGUGCCUGAAUUACAACUUACAACAUCUCUGGCUUAUUUUCCUUAUUGCUGGAUCAGGCUUCUUCACUGGUUAUAAAGACAAGGGUCCCCAUUUGGACAACGUGGACGGUAGCUGCACCAAUGACUCAAUCCCAGGUCUCUGGCAUUGCAGAUCUUUGUUGAAGAUGACCUUCAGAGACAGACAAGUAGUUGGAACUCUCUUUAAAUCUGGGCCUACCCUCAACAUCUGUACUUUUUCUACCCUGGAACCCGACCUACCAUCUGAAGUCUUUGGCUGUAUUCUCAUGCUGCUGAAUUAAAGGUCUGAUGCCUCUGCAAAAAUUGGUUGUCAGUCUGAACUUUGUUUCAUGGGUCUUUGACAAAUACAUGGAAAAGAAC